ACGACAACAGAAAACACAUAAUUUACAAUAUAUCUUGCAAGAUAAAAUGAUUAAAAGAAUUACAAAGAAAAUAAUAUAAAACUAAUAUUCUCCAAGAUAAAUGUACAAUGUUACAUAACCCCUUUAAGGUAAAUCUCCAAUUACAUCGCUACAAAUUGGGACAGAAGGAAGAUAAUUAAAGUAAAGCAACGUACCUUGAAAAUCUAGGCAAAACCACCACAGAAUACCGAGCGUACACCUCCAAACAAACAACACCAGCCGUUGAUGAAAUGUCCAGAUUAAAAUGCCCAAUCCAUCAAUUGUACGAUGUAAUAUUAAAACGUGCUCGCGUUGCGGGCACGAACGUGUAUCUUAUUGAUUUUAAUAAAUUUUAUCCUUGAUGUGUACCAUUCAA